UACGAAGGGGGCUAGCGUUGUUCGGAAUCACUGGGCGUAAAGGGCGCGUAGGCGGCUUUGUAAGUCGGGGGUGAAAGCCUGUGGCUCAACCACAGAAUUGCCUUCGAUACUGCAUGGCUUGAGACCAGAAGAGGUUAGUGGAACUGCGAGUGUAGAGGUGAAAUUCGUAGAUAUUCGCAAGAACACCAGUGGCGAAGGCGGCUGACUGGUCCGGUUCUGACGCUGAGGCGCGAAAGCGUGGGGAGCAAACAGG
rnacentral:rRNA from 1 species